UACGGAAGGCAGCAGUGGGGAAUAUUGCACAAUGGGCGCAAGCCUGAUGCAACCAUGCCGCGUGUAUGAAGAAGGCCUUCGGGUUGUAAAGUACUUUCAGUCGUGAGGAAGGUGUUAAGGUUAAUAACCUUAGCAAUUGACGUUAGCGACAGAAGAAGCACCGGCUAACUCCGUGCCAGCAGCCGCGGUAAUACGGAGGGUGCGAGCGUUAAUCGGAAUUACUGGGCGUAAAGGGCACGCAGGCGGUUAAUUAAGUUGGAUGUGAAAUCCCCGGGCUUAACCUGGGAAUGGCAUUCAAGACUGGUUAGCUAGAGUCUUGUAGAGGGGGGUAGAAUUCCAUGUGUAGCGGUGAAAUGCGUAGAGAUGUGGAGGAAUACCGGUGGCGAAGGCGGCCCCUGGACAAAGACUGACGCUCAUGUGCGAAAGCGUGGGGAGCAAACAGGGAUUAGAUA
rnacentral:rRNA from 1 species